rnacentral:rRNA from 1 species
GCCGCGUGAGUGAUGAAGGUUUCGGAUCGUAAACUCUGUUGUUAGGGAAGAACAAGUACCGUUCGAACAGGGCGGUACCUUGACGGUACCUAACCAGAAAGCCACGGCUAACUACGUGCCAGCAGCCGCGGUAAUACGUAGGUGGCAAGCGUUGUCCGGAAUUAUUGGGCGUAAAGCGCGCGCAGGCGGUUUCUUAAGUCUGAUGUGAAAGCCCCCGGCUCAACCGGGGAGGGUCAUUGGAAACUGGGGAACUUGAGUGCAGAAGAGGAGAGUGGAAUUCCACGUGUAGCGGUGAAAUGCGUAGAGAUGUGGAGGAACACCAGUGGCGAAGGCGACUCUCUGGUCUGUAACUGACGCUGAGGAGCGAAAGCGUGGGGAGCGAACAGGAUUAGAUACCCUGGUAGUCCACGCCGUAAACGAUGAGUGCUAGGUGUAAGGGGGUUUCCGCCCCUUAGUGCUGAAGUUAACGCAUUAAGCACUCCGCCUGCGGAGUACGGCCGCAAGGCUGAAACUUCAAAAGAAUUGACGGG